CAACAGCUGAAAGGAGGUGAUCCAGUGUCUCAUUGUCUCUCGCCGCGUGCGGAAACUUCGACCUGGACCUCCGCGAUCGAGGUCCGCGCGUAAGCGCAAGGGUCGCAAAGACCGCUCAGCGGUUCGACAAUGGAAAGGCCGCCCCCGACAACGGGGCGGCCU
rnacentral:sRNA from 1 species